rnacentral:lncRNA from 1 species
AUUCAUUCAAAUGGAGUAUUCUAGUGAAAAACAAAUACUUGAUGUAACUUUUUUGCAGGCGUGGCUACUUUGGAAGGAUGGAACACCCUUGGAACUGAUGGACCCCAUGUUAAGAGAAUCCUACAAUGAGAUUAAAAUCAUCAGAAGCAUCCAUAUUGGUCUGCUCUGUGUCCAAGAAGAUCCCGAAUACAGACCUACAAUGGCAACAAUAGUUCUUAUGCUAGCUAGUAACAGUGUUACUCUACCAACUCCUAAGCGGCCUGCAUUUUUCAUCCACAGUGGAACAGAUGCAACCAUGCCAAAAGGGCAGCAAUUUGAUCAGUCUAUGACAAAAUCAUUACUAAUGUCUAUCAACGAUGUUUCCAUUAGCGAAAUGGAUCCUAGAUAAGCUUCAUUGCUUGGAGAUUUUAGAAUGUAUCAUUAUUCACCUACUUAUUUGUCGUACGCAUGACUGUACUUCGAAAUCUUGGAACACUUUGAACUGUAUUCUAGUCGCUUAUUUUUCAGCUAGAAGUAAUAUAUGCAGGUAGGCUAUAUUGUUUUCUCCCAGAAAAAUGUGAAAUGUACAUAUUUGGUGACAGGAAUUUUUGAAAUGUAUGGGACAUAGUAAAGACUCGUCGAGUUGCUAUUUUGUUCCACAUUUACAAGCUUAAAUAACCUAUUAACUAAUAAGUGUCAAUGUGUAGUUUUUAUGAUUGAAAAAAUUUAACACUUUGGAACUUAAUUGUUGCAUAAUGUAAAAAAAAUACCCUAAUCUGAGAAUUAUUGAAUCUGCUUAUAUAUUUUGAACCAAGAAACAAAUGAAGAAAUUUAAUCUCAAUUUUUAUGUAAAUUGUGGAUGAAUAUGAAGCAUUGAAAGAAUGUAUGCAAGCUGGUAUUGAAAGAAAGAAAGCAAAAACUUAAUUGGAUCACAAGAAGAUUUAGCUCAAGCUAGAGGAUUUAGCUCAAGCUAAAUAUGUCCAGAGUUGAUUAAAGGUGCAGUACUAAUCUAGCCCAGGCUAGAAUUGCUAGCUCAAGCUAAAAAUGCACCGAAAGAUCUAGCUUAAGCUAAAUUGGCUCGUUUGAGCUAAAGUUCAUUAUAUAAAUUUUGAAACACAACUCAAAAGGAAGUGGUGGAAAAUGAUUGGAUCUUUAGAGAGAAGUUAGUGAGAGAAGAAGAAGGAGACCUCUGUUCUUAGGAGAAGAACGUGCUCAGAUCAGCCCCUUCUUAUGCAAUCCAGAUCAAGAAUGAAGAUUGGAGGAACUGUCAUGAGUGGCUAAGUUCUUUCUAACUUGGGAUUGAAUGUAAUUUACCUUGAUCAAAUGUAUUUUUGGUGAUAUAUAUAUAUAUAUAUAUAAUAUUAUCUUUUCUACUUAUUCUUGGUAUUUUCGUUUUAUGCUUAUUGCUUGAUUCUGUCUGAUCAAUAGAGUCUUAAUUUUGAUCCUUAAAACCUUUAAGGAUCUGAAAUAGACAAAAAUACUUGAUAACUUGUAAUGAUAGGAAUAGAUUCCAGGUUAUUGAUUGCAUCAUAAUUCUGCUUCUAAAGUUGGAUGAUUUGUUAAAUAUCUGAGGAAUCAGUGUUUGAGAAAUUAUGUUAUGAAUUUCAUCUUUGAGGAAUCAAGGUGAAUGACUUUAAAUUAAGCAUAAAAAAUAAGUAGUUUUGAGUAUUAUAAAUUGUAUUAUUCCAAAAUACAGAUGAUUGAGAUAGACGCAAUUCAAUCCCAAGUAUUUUUCUCUAUAUUUAAUAAGUUAGUUUUGUCUUUGGUUGAAUCAAACCCUAAAUCUCUGAGUUACUAAUGAAAUCUUUAAUUUGAUUAUGAACAUGUUCUCAAAAUUAUUUUCUAUAUUUAAUGAGUUAUAUAAUAGAACAUCUUAAUUAGAAUUGUUCCUUGUGGGUUCGACAUUCAUACUUUAAAAAGUAUUAUAUUACAGUUGAUUCAGUACACUUGCCGAGAAAAAUCAACAUUAACCAACUUAUCUUGUAUUUAAACAAUAUUAAUUUGCAUCCAAAAUAUGUGGCUGUGCAUAUUCAAUGAGUAACCUAUGUGCAAUAGUAAGGAUUUUGCAACUUUUAUUGACAGACAACUAAGGGAGAGUUAGACACUAUUGAUUUAUGUUUUUUUGUUCUUGAAUCUUUAAGGAUUUAAAAUUUAUGCGUAAAACUCAACCUAGAGAAACAAUCAUGCAGAAGUGGUUGAUUGGGAAGACUUGGUCUACUUGUCAUGUUUCAUCUUCUGAUGCUUAACAACAGUUUUCUGUUUAUCAACUUCUUGACUUGUGUAUGAACAAGUGUUCCUUUCAUCGCAGUCCCCACACAAACGCAUCCUCUCAGAGACUUUGGGUCUUCGCUCAUUUAUGUUAGACACCCAUUACUCAUAUUUUCCAUCAAACGUGUUGGACUUUUCUUCCUUGUCCCAUAUUCACACUGAAUCAUUCAAAUAAUAUCUUUGCUUGACUUGCUUCAUUGACUUGCCACCUGCUUCAUGUAUCACUAACAUCCAUAUUUCUAAUUUAUGGAUUAUAUGAAUUUCACUUUUACUUUUUUAAUACUUGUUUUCGCACGCUGCAUUGUUUUUUUAAGAAACAUGGUACAAAACAAAGUGACAAAAUACGUGCAAAAUGAUGUAAGUGAAAUAAAUGAGAAAUAGGACGAGAAAAGGAAAAUAGAGCUUUUGAAAGGGAGAACAAAUACUGAAGUUUUUUGAUAUAUUGAGUUAAUUCAUCAAAAUCAAAGCUAUACCAAUGUAAAGGAAGUAGAGGAUGGUAGUUCAUUCAAGAAAGACAAAAAAAGUAAAAGCAUUGAGGGAUAAACUGUGAAAGUAUAGUAAAUUUGAAAAACAGUUUCCAAUCAUGUUCUUGUACUAUACACAUGUUAGAUUAUCACAUCUACUAUAUAUAUCUUCUCAACAUGAGGCACAAGUAUCUCCCAAAAGUCAAGGAGACUCAACACAAACUGCAAAACGAGUGAUGAGAGGUGAGAGAGAAAUGGUUACAGACGUAUCCAUGGCUUCCCUCAAGCUUCUGCUGCUGUUGUUCAUUCUCAGCUUCCUCCACUUCAACACUUGCAAAGCACAGGAACUGAACUCCGACCCCGUCUACCUGUACCAUAACUGUUCAGGCGGCAACACCACCGCCAACAGUGCCUACCAACUAAACCUCGGCACCCUCCUCACUUCCCUAUCUUCCAACGCCUCCACAGAAUUCUCCAACAACACUGUCGGAACAUCCUCGUCCGACAGGGUGUACGGACUGUUCAUGUGCAGGGGAGACGUGCCCUCUACGCUUUGUCACCAGUGCGUGUUGAACGCAACGCGACGUCUCCGCUCGGAUUGCUCUCUGGCCAAACAGGCCGUCAUAUGGUACGACGAGUGCACGGUUCGCUACUCGAACAUCUCUUUCUUCUCCACGGUGGCCACUCGGCCGCGUGUCGGACUCCUCAACACCGGCAACAUAUCCAACCCAGAAGCCUUCAUGACCCUGCUUUUCUCAACCAUUAACACAACCGCGGAUGAGGCUGCCAACUUUCACAUGGGUGUGAAGAAAUACGCGACGAAUCAGGCCAACUUUUCUGGGUUUCAGACUCUGUACUGUUUGGCUCAGUGCACACCCGAUCUGUCCCCAGGAGACUGCAGAAAUUGUCUCAGUGGUGUGAUUGGAGACCUUCCAUGGUGCUGCCAGGGAAAGCAGGGAGGAAGGGUUCUCUAUCCUAGCUGCAAUGUUAGGUACGAACUCUACCCUUUCUACCGCGCCACAGCCACGCCUUCACCUUCACCUUCACCCUCACCGCCCCUACUUCCUCCUCCAACUUCCGGUAAUUCCCGAGGUAUAAUCUUCACACUUCAAUUGCAACACUCUCUCACUAUUAAUAUUGUUCUUCUCUGAUCAAGCAUAUUGUAGUAUCAUGGUUCGAGUUCAUGCUGAUAUUGAAAGGGGUCAAUUCUCGAUACUUAUAUUGAAGAGUAUUGAUUCUUACGUUAGCACAAAUUGAUACUGAGUAAUUAGUCUUUAUUAUUAGAAUUGGCCAAGAACAAUUUCAGAUACAGACAAGAGGAAAAGGAUUCGAGUAUAUGUAGAGGAAGACACGGAAAAAGAAGUAUCACACACUCAGAGUACACUUAUUCUUAGUAGUUCUAGGUUUAGAGUCGUUCAUAGUCUUGUCUGGAAGCACAUAAGUAACUGUAUUAAGUUUGUGUUGAAUUAUAUGUAAUUGCUUUCGUGGAAUUUGUUCUGAUGUUUUUUGGAUUGGGAUUGAUGCAGGAGGCGGUGGGAUCUCAGCUGGGACCAUUGUUGCGAUUGUGGUUCCAAUUUCUGUCGCCGUGCUUCUAUUUAUAGUGGGAAUUUGUUUCUUGAGUAGAAGAGCCAGGAAGAAGGCUUCUGCAAAGGAAGGAAAAAGUAAGGAUCCACGAAAAAGAUACUCAUUUUUUCCUCUCUUUUUUUUAAAUGAAUGAUUUCAUCUUACGCGUUUGUUUUGGGUUUCUAGAUGUAGAUGACAUCACCACUUUGGAAUCCUUGCAAUUCGGUUUCGGCACGAUUGAAGCCGCCACAAACAAUUUCUCAGCGGACAACAAGCUGGGGGAGGGUGGAUUUGGUGAGGUUUUCAAGGUAAGAAACUAGCCCACUUUUUUUGUUAGAUCGAUUCUCGGAUGUGUAAUUCAGUUAUAUUUGGAAAAAUUUAGGGCACUCUUCCGAGUGGACAAGUAAUAGCUGUGAAGAGACUCUCGAAAAGCUCUGGGCAAGGUGGAGAAGAAUUUAAGAAUGAAGUGGUGGUGGUUGCCAAGCUCCAACAUAGAAAUUUAGUGAGGCUUCUCGGGUUUUGCUUGCAAGGAGAAGAGAAGAUACUUGUCUAUGAAUAUGUUCCCAACAAAAGUCUCGACUACACUCUCUUUGGUAGGAUUUCUGAACUAUGUUAUGCUUUCUAUGCUAGCUUUUUUUUCUCUUCCAGUGUUUUCCUUUUUGGCAUCUUCACUAAUAGGCGACCACAAUAAAGGAAACUGUGCAUAAUAUAUGUCAAUGUGAAACUGCGACUUGAAUAUUUUGUCCAAUUUGUAGACCCUGAAAAGCAAAGUGAGUUGGAUUGGAGGAGACGUUACAAGAUUAUUCAAGGGACUGCUCGAGGCACUCAAUAUCUUCACGAAGAUUCUAGACUUAGAAUUAUACAUCGAGAUCUUAAAGCAAGUAAUAUAUUGUUAGAUGGGGAUAUGAAUCCAAAAAUCUCAGAUUUUGGCAUGGCAAGAAUAUUUGGAGUUGAUCAAACUCAAGGAAACACCGACAGAAUUGUAGGGACUUAGUAAGUACAGAUUUCUAUCUUCCUUCCUUGGAGCACCUGUAUUUGUGGAAGCACCUAAUUCUAUCAUAUCGAUCAAAAACAUUCAAAUAUCUUGGUAGUUUCAAACAAACAUACAAAUUUUAAAGCUAAUUUUCAGUAUUGGACCAGAUUUCUGUCUUUUGUUUCCUGUGCUGACGAUUGUGUUGGUUAUUCAAUCCAUGUUCUAUACAGUGGUUAUAUGGCUCCAGAAUAUGCAAUGCAUGGAGAGUUCUCUGUUAAGUCUGACGUGUACAGUUUUGGAGUCCUCCUUAUGGAGAUCAUAAGCGGCAAGAAGAAUAGUUCUUUCUAUCAAACAGAUGGUGCUGAGGAUCUACUGAGCUAUGUAAGUAUAGCAGAUAUUUAGCUUCCUUGGUCUAAUUCAUCCAAUGGAGUAUUCCAGUGAAAAGGGAAAAUAUGUGACAAAUACUUGAUGUAACUUUGCAGGCGUGGCUACUUUGGAAGGAUGGAACACCCUUGGAACUGAUGGACCCCAUAUUAAGAGAAUCCUACAAUCAGAAUGAAAUCAUCAGAAGCAUCCAUAUUGGUCUGCUCUGUGUCCAAGAAGAUCCCGAAGACAGACCUACAAUGGCAACAAUAGUUCUUAUGCUAGAUAGUAACACUGUCACUCUACCAACUCCUAAGCGACCUGCAUUUUUCAUCCACAGUGGAACAGAUGCAACCAUGCCAAAAGGGCAGCAAUUUGAUCAGUCUAUAACAAAAUCAUUACCAAUGUCUAUCAACGAUGUUUCCAUUAGCGAAAUGGAUCCUAGAUAAGCUUCAUUGCUU